GCGGAGGAGACGUGGUGGUCGCCACGUGAAAAAAAGAGCUCGCAUUUCUGAUGAGGAAUCUCGCUCUAGUGUGCCUCCACCAGGUAGAGCAGCUGCUCUUCCCCUAAGCUCCCAUGGAGCCCACGAAAUGGUGGUCAUUUUGGAGGGAAUAACAGCAAUUCUUCGCAGCAUGACGGCC